GAAACGCCCGGUUACAUUCCGAACCCGGAAGCUAAG
rnacentral:rRNA from 9 species